rnacentral:rRNA from 1 species
AUUGAACGCUGGCGGCGUGCUUAACACAUGCAAGUCGAUCGGUAACGCGGGGGCAACCCUGGCGACGAGAGGCGGACGGGUGAGGAACGCUUGGGAAUCUGCCUAUCAGCGGGGGACAACCCGGGGAAACUCGGGCUAAUACCGCAUACGCUCUACGGAGGGAAGCCGGGGACCGCAAGGCCUGGCACCGAUAGAUGGGCCCAAGUCGGAUUAGCUAGUUGGCGGGGUAACGGCCCACCAAGGCGACGAUCCGUAGCUGGUCUGAGAGGACGAUCAGCCACACCGGAACUGAGACACGGUCCGGACUCCUACGGGAGGCAGCAGUGGGGAAUAUUGGACAAUGGGGGAAACCCUGAUCCAGCGACGCCGCGUGGGUGAAGAAGGCCUGCGGGUUGUAAAGCCCUUUCGGUAGGGACGAAAGCUCUUGCUCUAACAAAGCAGGAGGUUGACUUAACCUACAUAAGAAGCACCGGCUAACUCUGUGCCAGCAGCCGCCGUAA